ensembl:lncRNA
UUUGCAAUAGGUUAUUUUACGAUUUUGAAAGAGCUACUACAGGAUUCUGUGCAAAGUAUGCCCUCAAUAAGGAUUUAUUGAAAGAAAAAUGAACAGGUGGAUCGAGGCAGGUGUUUGCAUUUCUUCGUGUGAAAUUUCAUCUGGUUGGUCUUCUCAUUCCAGGCCUGGGCAUCAUAGCUCCCUAACCAGGAACUGAACAAGCACCCCCUGAUUGGAAGGUGAAGUCUUAACCUCUGGACCACCAGAGAAGCUCCAAGAAUUUUAUACAUUCUAAUGCAACAUUUAAUGCAGAAGGAGAUAUUCA